CCUACGGGUGGCAGCAGUGGGGAAUAUUGCACAAUGGGGGAAACCCUGAUGCAGCGACGCCGCGUGAGUGAAGAAGUAAUUCGUUAUGUAAAGCUCUAUCAGCAGGGAAGAAAAUGACGGUACCUGAGUAAGAAGCCCCGGCUAACUACGUGCCAGCAGCCGCGGUAAUACGUAGGGGGCAAGCGUUAUCCGGAUUUACUGGGUGGAAAGGGAGCGUAGACGGCAGUGCAAGUCUGGAGUGAAAGGCGGGGGCUCAACCCCCGGACUGCUCUGGAAACUGUACGGCUGGAGUGCAGGAGAGGUAAGUGGAAUUCCUGGUGUAGCGGUGAAAUGCGUAGAUAUUAGGAGGAACACCAGAGGCGAAGGCGGCUUACUGGACUGUAACUGACGUUGAGGCUCGAAAGCGUGGGGAGCAAACAGGAUUAGAUACCCUAGUAGUC
rnacentral:rRNA from 1 species